rnacentral:misc_RNA from 1 species
GGUGGGUGUCUUUGCCUUCUCGGUGCUUGCGCGCGCGUGUGUGUGUGUGUACGCCUUUGGGUGUUUCUUCUUUUUUCGCGGGGAGGGGGUGCUGACCGACCUCGGCCACACGAUCGUACCACAUCACUCCACACCACCGCCGCGCCACCCGUAUACCCUUGCGCGCACACAAGCACACGUUUGCGGCAGCCCUUCACGCUUUACUAGAUACGGCUGAGGCGCCCACGCGUCUUCACUUUUGCAGGUUUUCUUGCGGACCUGCUCACCGGCCCACGCAUAUCUACGCGCACGCACUGUCGUUGAUGCUUCGCCGCGUAAGCGACCCACGAGCUACAAACGCCGAGAACGAAGAAAACGAUAGACUUGAACACCUCACUUAUCGAGGACGUUGGUUCUGAGUUGGUGCCGGUUUUUGGCCGGUGAUUCCAUCUACCUCGGCCUCCCCUCCAACGCAUCACAUCGCACACCUUCCAACCGCUCGCACUUGCUUUCCUUCGACCACCGCUAUAUCCACCGUGUGUAUGUAGCGUACUCUCUGUCAAACUCACGCAUCUUAGGGGGGUGGCGGCCGCUGCUGCCAUUUUUGUUGUGACUCCCCCGUACAGCUGACCCGCUUCGCCGCGUUUUCACUGUUAGCUACGUCCACUGCUGCUGCUGCCUCUGCUGUGGUUCUCUGCAGCAGCAGCCCCCCUCCCCCACACACACACACACGCACACCAUCAUCGCCACCUUCUCUCGCUCUCCUGCCUAUUGCGGUGGGUUGUCUCUCCGUCUUCCUCCGUCGACUGUUGGAUCUCUCACGCCCUGCUGCCAG